rnacentral:lncRNA from 1 species
CACCGCGCUUUGCACCGUCCUCUGGCCGUCGCUCUCAGUCUCUCCGCCACCAUGCCUAUGUUCAUCGUGAACACCAAUGUUCCCCGUGCCUCCGUGCCAGAGGGGUUUCUCUCCCAGCUCACCCAGCAGCUGGCGCAGGCCACCGGCAAGCCGGCACAGUACAUCGCAGUGCACUUGGUCCCGGACCAGCUCAUGACUUUUAGCGGCACGAGCGACCCCUGCGCCCUCUGCAGCCUGCACAGCAUCAGCAAGAUCGGUGGCGCCAGAACCGCAACUACAGCAAGCUGCUGUACGGCCUGCUGUCCGAUCGCCUGCACAUCAGCCGGGACUCGGUCUACAUCAACUAUUACACAUGAACGCAGCCAACGUGGGCUGGAACGGUUCCACCUUCGUUUGAGCCCGGGCCUCACUUACCUGCACCGCUGUUCUUCGAGCCUUGCUGCACGCAGCGUUCUGUGUUUAUCCACCCGUAAUGAUGGCCACCUUCCGGUCGGGAGAAAUAAAUGGUUUGAGACAAAA